GGUCAAUGUACUCAGUCCGAUCAGUCGUUCAGCCGAUCAAUGCCCGCGCGCCGUAGGAUCAGCAGUUCGGAUUCAAAACCCUCUCAUCGCGCAGCCCAGCCGUGAUCAUCGCAGCCGACCCGUCCAUCGUCGCGACUCCCGCCUCUCGUCCCGCCUCUCGCCGCGGAUCGCGCGCCCUUCCCAUCCCGCACCUGUCCGCACCGUCGCGCUCCGGAUCACCCAUGCCGCCGCACCGGUCCGGUCCGCUCCGUCCCGAUCCGCGCCGUCCCCUGCAUCGACCGCGGCUCCUUCCCCGGCGUGGGUGAGUAGCUGUCGUCGUUGCUGACGACGUUGGAGUGGAUCCCCGAGGAGAAAACACGCCGGGGUCAAGAUUUCAGUAGCAGAUCGGUUCUAGGUGUUUCCUAAGUUUGGGGAGCGUAACCGGAGUUUUGUUCGGCUUCCUUCUCCCGUGCGUGGACUCUUGGGAAAAUUUGAGAAAGGACAUCAUAUGCAAGUUAUCCCCUGGUUCUUUUGUUCUAACAUUUUUUAGUGUCUUUCUCACUUCAACACUUCCGGUGGAUCAUGCUACCAUCGCGCGCAACCAAUUUAUGCAGUUCCAAGCACUUCAUGCAUAUCCCAUUUCUUAGAUAUCGUAGCACAACCAAUUUAUGCAGUUCCAUGCUUGUUGACUUUUCCAAUUUGUGGUUGAGUUGUAGAGCUCCCAAAUAUGCAAGGUAAUUGUAAUAUUUUUUUAAUAUCUGCAAGAUCUACUGCGAUUUAGGUAUCAAAGUAAAUGUAAGUUGACAGAUGUCAAUUUGAGUUGAAUAUAUCAUCAGUGCACUUAUUUUCUAA